AAAACCGUGAGUUGAUUAAACCUCUUUUCUUCAUAAAUUACCCAGUCUCAGGUAUGUCUUUAUGGCAGUGUGAGAACAGACUAAUACAGAUAUCUGUUCAUAUUUUUGUAGCUCUUUUUCUGUAAAGCUUUCUUCUCUUCAGAACUCUAGCACAAAACUUCCAACCACCUCAGCUUUAUUGAACUCCAGUAUCAAAAACUCAUCAAGACCACUGCAUACUUAUCAUGAUCUCCUUCCCUGUGUUGUAGUCUAGAAUGUUUUUCAAGAAAGACAGGACACUCAUAGGAAUCAUCUUUUUUGUUUCUCUUCUCUCAGGUAUUACAUUUAUGCACUGUCUGCUGCCAAAGAUCUGAAACCAAUGAUCUCAUAUAUAUGGUACAGUUUUCUAGUUAUUUACAGUGGGAGAGUAAAUUAUCCAUGCUCAGAAGUAGUGUGUACUAGUCUCAGUAAGUCAAUGGGUUUCCCUGGAUCCAGGCUUGGAGAAAAUGUUUUCUCUUCUCUAUCUGCAAUUCUCCUGAACCAAUUCUGACGGAUAAUAUGACUGUGUCAACCACAAAAGAGGAAAAGAAUGGGCUUUAAAUCCCGCCUUUACAGCCAUCCAAGGCAGCUCCUUCUUCAAAGGAUGGAACUUUAAGGAUGGAACCAAUUGGCUACAAAUCAUUUUAGCUGAUGCACUGAGACAAUUCUGAAGCAAACUGUCUUAUCCUGGAUUUUGUCAGUAACUGGAGUUGAAGGACUUGAAGAUUCUCAAGGAUUGAUCCAGAAUAUGUUCCAGCAAAAACUACAGCAGAGUAACUUUGACAAGAAAAAUGUUCACUUGCUACCUAAGGAGAGUCUCUGUCUCCUGACCUCUGAAUUUCGAAAUCCUCAGCUCUGGCUGCCACGCAGUGGGAACCGAAUGAGUAUGUACUGAAUGGCGAAUCCUAGUUCAGUCACUUGACUAGCUGGGUGACCUUGAGCAAGUAACUUAGCUUCUUGAAGCCUCAGUCUCCUUAUCUAUAAAAUGGGACUCAAAGGCUGAGUCGAGUAUUAAAUGAAAUAAUACACGUAAAGCACAGUGCCAAAAAUCUGGUAAUAACUCCAUCAGUAUAAGGCCACCUUAUUUGCCUUCUUUCACAAUUAUCACCAGAAUUGAAUUAAAAUUCAGAUGUGAUCAUGUCUUGAAAUGUAGAAAGAGUUAUGAAAAUGUAAGACUUACUAAGUUCACUUAUCGAACAUUUUUUGACCACCUACUAUGUGCUAUGCCUUGGACUAGGCUAGAGAUACAACAGUAAACAUCUUGACUAACGGAGAUUAUGCUGCUAUCUUGAAAUUUUGCCUGUUCCCAAAAGCCCCCAGCAUAUUAAUUUUGUUAAAUAUAUAUUCCCUUAUUAUAUAUAUAAAACAUAUAUAUCCU
rnacentral:lncRNA from 1 species